CUAAGUUUGAUGGCGACCGGCGCACGGGUGAGUAACACGUAUCCAACCUGCCGAUGACUCGGGGAUAGCCUUUCGAAAGAAAGAUUAAUACCCGAUGGCAUAGUUCUUCCGCAUGGUAGAACUAUUAAAGAAUUUCGGUCAUCGAUGGGGGUGCGUUCCAUUAGGUUGUUGGCGGGGUAACGGCCCACCAAGCCUUCGAUGGAUAGGGGUUCUGAGAGGAAGGUCCCCCACAUUGGAACUGAGACACGGUCCAAACUCCUACGGGAGGCAGCAUG
rnacentral:rRNA from 1 species